rnacentral:rRNA from 1 species
AUUGAACGCUAGCGGCAGGCCUAACACAUGCAAGUCGAACGAGUGGCGGACGGGUGAGUAAUGUAUGGGAAACUGCCUGGUAGCGGGGGAUAACUACUGGAAACGGUGGCUAAUACCGCAUACCAUCAGAUGUGCCCAUAUGGGAUUAGCUAGUUGGUGGGGUAAAGGCUCACCAAGGCGACGAUCCCUAGCUGGUCUGAGAGGAUGACCAUCCACACUGGAACUGAGACACGGGCCAGACUCAUACGGGAGGCAGCAGUGGGGAAUAUUGCACAAUGGGCGAAAGCCUGAGGCAGCCAUGCCGCGUGUAUGAAGAAGGCCUUCGGGUUGUAAAGUACUUUCAGCGGGGAGGCGUUACCCGCAGAAGAAGCACCGGCUAACUCCGUGCCAGCAGCCGCGGUAAUAC